UACGAAGGGGGCUAGCGUUGCUCGGAAUUACUGGGCGUAAAGCGCACGUAGGCGGUCUUUUAAGUCGGGGGUGAAAUCCUGGAGCUCAACUCCAGAACUGCCUUCGAUACUGGAAGACUUGAGUCCGGGAGAGGUGAGUGGAACUGCGAGUGUAGAGGUGAAAUUCGUAGAUAUUCGCAAGAACACCAGUGGCGAAGGCGGCUCACUGGCCCGGUACUGACGCCGAGGUGCGAAAGCGUGGGGAGCAAACAGG
rnacentral:rRNA from 1 species